UGGGGAAUAUUGCACAAUGGGCGCAAGCCUGAUGCAGCAACGCCGCGUGAGGGAUGACGGCCUUCGGGUUGUAAACCUCUUUUAGUAGGGAAGAAGCGAAAGUGACGGUACCUGCAGAAAAAAGCACCGGCUAACUACGUGCCAGCAGCCGCGGUAAUACGUAGGGUGCGAGCGUUGUCCGGAAUUAUUGGGCGUAAAGAGCUCGUAGGCGGUCUGUCGCGUCUGCUGUGAAAACCCGAGGCUCAACCUCGGGCCUGCAGUGGGUACGGGCAGACUAGAGUGCGGUAGGGGAGAAUGGAAUUCCUGGUGUAGCGGUGGAAUGCGCAGAUAUCAGGAGGAACACCGAUGGCGAAGGCAGUUCUCUGGGCCGU
rnacentral:rRNA from 1 species